rnacentral:rRNA from 1 species
UACGGAGGGUGCAAGCGUUGUCCGGAUUUAUUGGGUUUAAAGGGUGCGUAGGUGGCUUUUUAAGUCUGACCUGAAAGUGGGCCGCUUAACGGCACAGGGUGGUUGGAUACUGAAGAGCUUGAAGAGGGUGGAGGCCGCCGGAACGGAUCGUGUAGCGGUGAAAUGCAUAGAGAUGAUCCAGAACCCCGAUUGCGAAGGCAGGCGGCUACGCCCCACUUGACACUGAGGCACGAGAGCAUGGGGAGCAAACAGG